AUUGCACGCUGGCGGCAGGCCUAACACAUGCAAGUCGCACGAGUGGCGGACGGGUGAGUAAUGUCUGGGAAACUGCCUGAUGGAGGGGGAUAACUACUGGAAACGGUAGCUAAUACCGCAUACCACCAUCUGUGCCCAGAUGGGAUUAGUUUGUUGGUGGGGUAACGGCUGACCAAGGCGACGAUCCCUACCUGGUCUGAGAGGAUGACCAGCAAAGUUGGAACUGAGACACGGUCCAGACUCCUACGGGAGGCAGCAGUGGGGAAUAUUGCACAAUGGGCGGAAGCCUGAUGCAGCAAUGCCGCGUGUAUGAAGAAGGCCUUCGGGUUGUAAAGUACUUUCAGCGGGGAGGCGUUACCCGCAGAAGAAGCACCGGCUAACUCCGUGCCAGCAGGCGCGGUAAUUC
rnacentral:rRNA from 1 species